CGCGUAGGCGGACCUUCAAGUCGGAUGUGAAAUCUUGCAGCUCAACUGCAAGCCUGCAUUCGAAACUGGCGGUCUUGAGUACAGUAGAGGAAAGCGGAAUUCCAGGUGUAGCGGUGAAAUGCGUAGAUAUCUGGAAGAACACCAGUAGCGAAGGCGGCUUUCUGGGCUGAUACUGACGCUGAAGCGCGAAGGCUUGGGUAGCAAACAGGAUUAGAUACCCGAGUAGUCC
rnacentral:rRNA from 1 species